GUAAGCAGCGUAGAGUUUGAUCCUGGCUCAGAAAUCCUAACAAGGGAACCCUAAAAUUUGAUCCUGGGUCCGAAAUUCUAAUGGGGUGGCCGAAAAUUUUGACCUGGGGACCCUACAGGAAACGGUUGCUAAUACCGCAUAAUCUCUAAGGAGCAAAGCAGGGGAACUUCGGUCCUUGCGCUAUCGGAUGAACCCAUAUGGGAUUAGCUAGUAGGUGAGGUAAUGGCUCACCUAGGCGACGAUCCCUAGCUGGUCUGAGAGGAUGAUCAGCCACGCUGGGACUGAGACACGGCCCAUACUCCUACGGGAGGCAGCAGUGGGGAAUAUUGCACGAUGGGCGCAAGCCUGAUGCAGCCAUGCCGCGUGUAUGAAGAAGGCCCUAGGGUUGUAAAGUACUUUCAGUCGGGAGGAAGGCGUUGAUGCUAAUAUCAUCAACGAUUGACGUUACCGACGGAAGAAGCACCGGCUAACUCCGUGCCAGCAGCCGCGGUAAUACGGAGGGUGCAAGCGUUAAUCGGAAUUACUGGGCGUAAAGCGCACGCAGGCGGUUGAUUAAGUUAGAUGUGAAAUCCCCGGGCUUAACCUGGGAAUGGCAUCUAAGACUGGUCAGCUAGAGUCUUGUAGAGGGGGGUAGAAUUCCAUGUGUAGCGGUGAAAUGCGUAGAGAUGUGGAGGAAUACCGGUGGCGAAGGCGGCCCCCUGGACAAAGACUGACGCUCAGGUGCGGAAGCGUGAAGAGCAAACAGGAUUAUAUACCCUCGUACUCCACGCUGUAAACGAUGUCGAUUUGAAUGUUGUUCCCUUGAGGAGUGGCUUUCGGGAGCAAACGCGUUAAAUCGACCGCCUGGGGAGUACAGCCGCAAGGUUAGAACUCAAAUUGAAUUGACGGGGGCCCGCACAAGCGGUGGUGCAUGUUGAUUAAUUCGAUGCAACCCAACAACCUUAACUUACUCUUGGCAUCCGGAGAAAUUUAGCACAGAUGCUCUGGUGCCUUCCAGGAACUCUGAAACAGGUGCUGCAUGUCUUGUCGUCACUGUGAUGUGAAAUGUUAGGAUUAAGUCCACCACCAGACGCAACUCUUAUCCUUUGUUGCCCAGCGAUUCGGUUCAGAAACUCAAGGAAAACUGCCUGGUGAAUAGAUCGGGUAGAGAAGGGUGGGAGAAUGAACGUUCAAGUCCUCCAUGGGCUCCCGUAACGAGGACUUGCUCCUACACCUGGUGCUACCAUGAGGCGUUAUCACAAAGGAGACCGAGAACCUCGCGGCGAGUCACUAGACAGCACGAACAAACCUCUUAACGAA
rnacentral:rRNA from 1 species